rnacentral:rRNA from 1 species
AGAGUUUGAUCCUGGCUCAGAGCGAACGCUGGCGGCAGGCCUAACACAUGCAAGUCGAGCGCCGUAGCAAUACGGAGCGGCAGACGGGAGAGUAACACGUGGGAACGUGCCCUUCAGUUCGGAACAACCCAGGGAAACUUGGGCUAAUACCGGAUACGUCCGUAAGGAGAAAGAUUUAUCGCUGAAGGAUCGGCCCGCGUCUGAUUAGCUUGUUGGUGAGGUAACGGCUCACCAAGGCGACGAUCAGUAGCUGGUCUGAGAGGAUGAUCAGCCUCACUGGGACUGAGACACGGCCCAGACUCCUACGGGAGGCAGCAGUGGGGAAUAUUGGACAAUGGGCGCAAGCCUGAUCCAGCCAUGCCGCGUGGGUGAUGAAGGCCUUAAGGUUGUAAAGCCCUUUCGGCGGGGAAGAUAAUGACGGUACCCGCAGAAGAAGCCCCGGCUAACUUCGUGCCAGCAGCCGCGGUAAUACGAAGGGGGCUAGCGUUGCUCGGAAUCAC